CAGAGACACAAGGUAAGACCUGCUCCCUCUCUAAAGCCUAGCAAUCACUGAGUUUAAGCCUGGCUUUCAGGAGGUCACGAUGUCGCCAGCCUGGUUGCUCACAGGGAGCAGCUCUAGACAGCUUCAGACGCAGAAGAAAAAAGAAGCACUCCUUCAGGGAGCAGGACAACCCAAGAGAAAGUGAGAGGUGCCUGACACCAAGGCCAGGCUGCACCCACCAGCAGGGCUUCAGAACAGGGGUUCCCAGGCUCCCCGCCCAUCUGGGGCCCUCCUCCAGGCACCUGGGCCACAGAAACACUACCCUUCUCCCCACCCUUCUCCCCACAGUUGAGAAAGGCCCUCAGAAGUGUAAGGAUCAACUUACUCCAUCUCCCCUGGAGCCCAGCUCUGGGGGCCGGGUCCUCCCACAGGGGCUUACACUGCCCCCAGAGGCAGGCAGAGGGAGGGGGCCCCACAGGAGGGGCUCUCAGGAGAGCACAGAACAACCAAGCACCCAGCUGAGUCCCAGCUCCCCCACAGUUGAGCAGGGCUGGCAGCCACAAGACCCCGAACUCCUAGGCUGGACCUUACUGGGGUCCUGUUGUCUGCAGUCUGGUCACAAACUCCUGCGUGUUAAGGGGGCCCGACAGCCAGCCCCAUCAGGGCCACCUGAUCACACAAGGCUGCCCUGGCCAGGAUCAGAAGGGCCCCCUCCUGCGGGCAGCCGGGUGGGCCGGCAGCCCGGCAGCCACUCUGGGGGCCACCAUGGUAACUUUUCGGUUCGCUCCAGCGCCAACAGGAAAAGAACAGGAGAAGGAAGCGUGUUUGGUGGCCAGCGGGCAGACAGGACGCGCUUGCUCCCCCACUCCACAGGGCCGGAUCGGACACUUCCCCUAAUGCCGCCGCGGCCGGGACACUGACCGGAGAUAAGGGCACUCAAGGGCAGGAGGGGCUGAGGCCGCCUCCCGCGCCUUCAGACCCUGGGCUGGUCUCCCGCUGCCCGGCGCCCGAGGUCCUGGCGGCUCCCCUCUCCAACAGCG
rnacentral:lncRNA from 1 species